rnacentral:rRNA from 1 species
AGUCACUGACAUUAGAUACCCCUGUAGUCCAGGGUGUAAACGCUGCAGACUUGGUGUUGGAGGCCCUUUGGGGGCAUUCAGUGCCGGAGAGAAGUUGUUAAGUCUGCUACUUGGGGAGUACGUCCGCAAGGAUGAAACUUAAAGGAAUUGGCGGGGGAGCACCGCAACGGGAGGAGCGUGCGGUUUAAUUUGGAUUCAACACCGUAAACUCACCAGGGAAGACUGUUACAUGAAGGCCGAGAUGAAGACUCUGCUAGAUUUUCAG